GAUAAAUUCCAGAGUAGAAUGUUGUGGCUCAGUCUUUCUGACCUCUGGACGUCCCAGGGGCUAUUCUUCUUUCAUUCCAGGAGGACCCCACAAGGAUGGUGCUGAAGCAUCAAAAGAACAUGCAGAAUUCAAAAAUGGAAAGAAGCCAUGUGGCCACCAGGAUUGUCUUUAAGAAACUACACAAGGGUGCAUGUACUACUCAAGAGGAAAAACAAACCAUUAAAUGGCAUUGUCUCGACCUCAACUCUGAAGUUCUUUCAUCAGAUCAAACUCAAAAACAUUCCACAAGGAGAAAAUAUUGAAGGCAACAGCUCAUACCCAGGCCUGCUGGAUUGGAGCACAUGUUGCUUCUGUCACUACACAGAUGCGGAGGGCUUUUCUGGUCUUAAGUAUGCCUGCUUUUACCACUGUUGCUACUUCCACAACAUCCCACCUCAUUGCUGUCCAGUAUGGCUCCUCAGUAACAAAAUGACCCAUCUUGAUAUUACCGGCA
rnacentral:lncRNA from 1 species